AGGGUUCGAUUCUGGCUCAGGAUGAACGCUGGCGGCGUGCUUAACACAUGCAAGUCGAACGAAGCACAUAGGCAGAUUUCUUCGGAUUGAAGCGUAUGUGACUGAGUGGCGGACGGGUGAGUAACGCGUGGGUAACCUGCCUUUCACAGGGGGACAACAGCUGGAAACGGCUGCUAAUACCGCAUAACCCGCUAGGGCCGCAUGGCCCAGACGGAAAAGGAGCAAUCCGGUGGAAGAUGGACCCGCGUCUGAUUAGCUAGUUGGUGGGGUAACGGCCCACCAAGGCGACGAUCAGUAGCCGAACUGAGAGGUUGACCGGCCACAUUGGGACUGAGACACGGCCCAA
rnacentral:rRNA from 1 species